GCUUAGGCGUGUGACUGCGUACCUUUUGUAUAAUGGGUCAGCGACUUAUAUUCUGUAGCAAGGUUAACCGAAUAGGGGAGCCGAAGGGAAACCGAGUCUUAACUGGGCGUUAAGUUGCAGGGUAUAGACCCGAAACCCGGUGAUCUAGCCAUGGGCAGGUUGAAGGUUGGGUAACACUAACUGGAGGACCGAACCGACUAAUGUUGAAAAAUUAGCGGAUGACUUGUGGCUGGGGGUGAAAGGCCAAUCAAACCGGGAGAUAGCUGGUUCUCCCCGAAAGCUAUUUAGGUAGCGCCUCGUGAAUUCAUCUCCGGGGGUAGAGCACUGUUUCGGCAAGGGGGUCAUCCCGACUUACCAACCCGAUGCAAACUGCGAAUACCGGAGAAUGUUAUCACGGGAGACACACGGCGGGUGCUAACGUCCGUCGUGAAGAGGGAAACAACCCAGACCGCCAGCUAAGGUCCCAAAGUCAUGGUUAAGUGGGAAACGAUGUGGGAAGGCCCAGACAGCCAGGAUGUUGGCUUAGAAGCAGCCAUCAUUUAAAGAAAGCGUAAUAGCUCACUGGUCGAGUCGGCCUGCGCGGAAGAUGUAACGGGGCUAAACCAUGCACCGAAGCUGCGGCAGCGACGCUGAUGCGUUGUUGGGUAGGGGAGCGUUCUGUAAGCCUGCGAAGGUGUGCUGUGAGGCAUGCUGGAGGUAUCAGAAGUGCGAAUGCUGACAUAAGUAACGAUAAAGCGGGUGAAAAGCCCGCUCGCCGGAAGACCAAGGGUUCCUGUCCAACGUUAAUCGGGGCAGGGUGAGUCGACCCCUAAGGCGAGGCCGAAAGGCGUAGUCGAUGGGAAACAGGUUAAUAUUCCUGUACUUGGUGUUACUGCGAAGGGGGGACGGAGAAGGCUAUGUUGGCCGGGCGACGGUUGUCCCGGUUUAAGCGUGUAGGCUGGUUUUCCAGGCAAAUCCGGAAAAUCAAGGCUGAGGCGUGAUGACGAGGCACUACGGUGCUGAAGCAACAAAUGCCCUGCUUCCAGGAAAAGCCUCUAAGCAUCAGGUAACAUCAAAUCGUACCCCAAACCGACACAGGUGGUCAGGUAGAGAAUACCAAGGCGCUUGAGAGAACUCGGGUGAAGGAACUAGGC
rnacentral:rRNA from 1 species